rnacentral:rRNA from 1 species
GAUGAACGCUGGCGGCGUGCCUAAUACAUGCAAGUCGAGCGAAAAGACGAUGAGCUUGCUCCUCUGUCGUUAGCGGCAGACGGGAGUAUAACACGUGUAUACCGUACCUGUAAGACGGGUAUAACUACGGGACACCGGAGAUAAUACCGGAGAAUAUAUUGAACCGCGGGGGGCAAUAGAAAAAGUCGGCGGUGCUGGCACGAAUCGAUGGAUCCCGGCCGUAUUGGCUGGUUGGUAAGGUAAAGGCUUACCAAGGCAAGUAUGCGUGGCCGACCUGUGUGGGUGGUCGCCCACCCUGGAACUUGGCCGCGGUCCAUGCUCCUGCGGGAGGCCGCAGUCGGGAAUCGUCCGCAAUGGGCGAGAGCCUUACGGAGCAGCGCCGCGUGAGUUAUGAAGGUCUUCCGAUCGUGAAGAUCUCUUAUUAGGUAAGAACAAAUUUGUACGUAACUAUGCCCGUCUUGACGGUACCUAGUCAGAAAGCCCCGGCUAACUACGUG